GAUGAACGCUAGCUACAGGCUUAACACAUGCAAGUCGCGGGGCAGCAUGGGGGUUGCUUGCAACUCCCGAUGGCGACCGGCGCACGGGUGAGUAACGCGUAUCCAACCUGCCCUUCACCACGGGAUAACCCGGCGAAAGUCGGACUAAUACCGUAUGUUGUCCAUUGACGGCAUCCGAUUUGGACGAAAGGCUUUGCGGUGAAGGAUGGGGAUGCGUCCGAUUAGCCAGGCGGCGGGGUAACGGCCCACCGUGGCUACGAUCGGUAGGGGUUCUGAGAGGAAGGUCCCCCACACUGGAACUGAGACACGGUCCAGACUCCUACGGGAGGCAGCAGUGAGGAAUAUUGGUCAAUGGGCGUAAGCCUGAACCAGCCAAGUAGCGUGCAGGAUGACGGCCCUAUGGGUUGUAAACUGCUUUUAUGCGGGGAUAAAGUGGCCCACGUGUGGGCUUUUGCAGGUACCGCAUGAAUAAGGACCGGCUAAUUCCGU
rnacentral:rRNA from 1 species